rnacentral:rRNA from 1 species
CCUACGGGCGGCUGCAGUGGGGAAUAUUGGACAAUGGGCGAAAGCCUGAUCCAGCCAUGCCGCGUGUGUGAAGCAGGCCUUCGGGUUGUAAAGCACUUUCAGUGGGGAAGAAAGCCUUGGGGCUAAUACCCUCGAGGAAGGACAUCACCCACAGAAGAAGCACCGGCUAACUCCGUGCCAGCAGCCGCGGUAAUACGGAGGGUGCGAGCGUUAAUCGGAAUUACUGGGCGUAAAGCGCGCGUAGGCGGUCUGAUAAGCCGGUUGUGAAAGCCCCGGGCUCAACCUGGGAACGGCAUCCGGAACUGUCAGGCUAGAGUGCAGGAGAGGAAGGUAGAAUUCCCGGUGUAGCGGUGAAAUGCGUAGAGAUCGGGAGGAAUACCAGUGGCGAAGGCGGCCUUCUGGACUGACACUGACGCUGAGGUGCGAAAGCGUGGGUAGCAAACAGGAUUAGAUACCCCGGUAGUC